GCUGUGUUUGCCAGGGUCACCGUGAACCGUGGCCCGAUGCGGUUGAUCCACCGAUCGCUACAUCGUUGCACCUCGCUUCCUCCUUGCGAACCAGCACACGAUGAAAGUCGUGUCUCAACCAGCAAACGUUCCAAGGAGCAAGUAAAUGUCCCGCGAAAACGGUACCGUCAAGUGGUUCAACGAUGCCAAGGGCUUCGGCUUCAUCAGCCGUGAAAAUGGCGAGGAUGUGUUCGUGCACUUCCGCGCCAUCCAGACCCAGGGCUUCAAGAGCCUGAAGGAAGGCCAGAAAGUUUCGUUCACCGUCGUCCAGGGCCAGAAGGGCCUGCAGGCUGACGCCGUCGAACCGAUCUAAUUUGUCCCGGCGCGCGGGCAUACCGCGUAACAGGAUUUUUGAAACCCGGCCUGCGCCGGGUUUCUUUUU
rnacentral:sRNA from 1 species